rnacentral:lncRNA from 1 species
UAAAAAGGUUCACAGAAGCCGCAUUGGGAAGAAGCGAAGGCAUCCUUUAAAAAGAACAAUAAUCUUCCUCGAUCGUCACCCCCCUUUCCCCGCGUGGAGCCCCCAUCCCCCUGCCACCGCCGCCGCCCAAACCAGGGAGGGCUAGAGUGAAGGGGGAAAAAAUCAAGAGGUUCUCUGCGCGCCGCACCAGCCCUGGACUUGGCGCUGGAUCCCGCUGCCCGAGGCGCGGCGGCGGCCAGCGGGGGCGGCUGGUGCUCGGGGGCACUCGGUGGAGCUCGGUGGGUGUGUGUCUGUGCAGCAGCGAUGCUGGCUCUGCGCGAGAGGCCAGGCGGGGCGCUCCGGGCGCGGGUCCUCCAACCCGCAGCUCUCCGGCCAGGCGCGCACACUUGCCCGCGGCCACCUAGCCUCGCGCUCCGCCUCCCGCGCUCCGCGCACCCGCGGGCAGAGCGGCCG